UACGGGGGGGGUAAGCGUUGUUCGGAAUUAUUGGGCGUAAAGGGCGCGUAGGCGGCCUGGCAAGUGAAAGGUGAAAUCCCUCGGCUUAACCGAGGAACUGCCUUUCAGACUGCUUGGCUUGAGACCGGGAGAGGUGAGUGGAAUUCCCAGUGUAGCGGUGAAAUGCGUAGAUAUUGGGAGGAACACCAGUGGCGAAGGCGGCUCACUGGACCGGUACUGACGCUGAUGCGCGAAAGCGUGGGGAGCAAACGGG
rnacentral:rRNA from 1 species